AUCUAUCUCUCUUUCUCGACCUUUUGUCUCCUCGAUCUAAAGAUGGCGGAUUCGGACAACGAUUCAGGAGGACACAAAGACGGUGGAAAUGCUUCGACACGUGAGCAAGAUAGGUUUCUACCGAUCGCUAACGUUAGCAGGAUCAUGAAGAAAGCACUUCCUGCGAACGCAAAAAUCUCUAAGGAUGCUAAAGAAACGGUUCAAGAGUGUGUAUCGGAAUUCAUAAGUUUCAUCACCGGUGAGGCUUCUGACAAGUGUCAGAGAGAGAAGAGGAAGACAAUCAACGGUGACGAUCUUCUUUGGGCGAUGACU
rnacentral:sRNA from 1 species